UACGUAGGGGGCGAGCGUUGUCUGAAGUUACUGGGCGUAAAGCGCGCGUAGGCGGUCAUUUAAGUCUGAGGUGAAAGGUUCAGCGCUCAACGUGAACAGUGCCUUGGAUACUGGGUGACUUGAGUUCGGGAGGGGGCAGUGGAAUUCCAGGUGUAGCGGUGAAAUGCGUAGAUAUCUGGAGGAACACCGAUGGCGAAGGCAGCUGCCUGGCCCAGAACUGACGCUGAGGUGCGAAAGCGUGGGGAGCGAACGGG
rnacentral:rRNA from 1 species